GGGGUUGUGGUUCAGUGGUAUACCGUUUGCCUAGCAUGUGAGAGGCAGAGUUCAAUCCUCAGCACCA
rnacentral:tRNA from 1 species